ACAGAGGGUGCAAGCGUUAAUCGGAAUUACUGGGCGUAAAGGGUGUGUAGGUGGCAAGAUAAGUUAGGUGUGAAAUCCUCGGGCUUAACCUGAGAAUUGCGCUUAAUACUGUCUGGCUAGAGUACUGCAGAGGGCAGUGGAAUUUCCAGUGUAGCGGUGAAAUGCGUAGAUAUUGGAAGGAACACCAGUGGCGAAGGCGACUGCCUGGAUAGAUACUGACACUGAAACACGAAAGCGUGGGUAGCAAACAG
rnacentral:rRNA from 1 species